GAUUUGGGUUGGAUGUUGCUAGGACAGAUGAAAUGAUUUGGAGUGAAGUGGCUGUGUGUCAUUCUAAAUGAUUAAAAUGCUACUGUGACCAGCUUGGAGUAUCUUGGCUCAAAGACCGUGUGAACUCAACCAUACACACCGAGUAAUGAAGUGAUGACUGAUUGCCUUGAUUAACAUAAGUUAGACAAAUAAACAGUUUAAUCACAAUUAAUGUCAAAUUACUAUAAUUAUCUUAUGAAAUAAAGCACCGUUCUCAUAAUGUUGAGCUCAUAACUGAAGCGUUACACUUGGAUAUUAAUGCUCUCAUCUCCCAACCGGACGUCCUCACCCGUAAUGUCCACGGGGUGAUUUUUUCGGUUCAGUUGCGGCUUCUGGAAACUGGUAGCUCCCAACGUUCACCAGAUGUGUGAAUGGAACAUCUAAAUGACUUUUAAAAUCCGUUUGACGAUAUCUUAUCUGUUAUUGAGUACAUUUUUAUGCACAGAGCUGCAACAAUUAAUCAAUCAGUAGUUAGUAUUACAUUAAACAGCAACGAUCUGAUUUCAGCUUCUUAAACAUGAUUCUUGGGUUGUGGACAAAACAAGACCAUGAGCAUGUCAUUGUGGGUUUUGGGAAAUAUUGACUGAGAUUAUUCACCAUUUCAUAAACCAAACACAUGCUCAAUUGUGAAAAUAAUUUACAGAUUAAUCAAAAUGAAAAGUUGCAGCCCAACACACAGCAAAACUAGUUUGUCUUUAUUACAACUCCCAUAGCUGCAAAACAAAACCUGACAGGAUUUUCUUUAUGCUACUAUACACAAUUCAGGAUAUGAAGACAAAGAAAUAAAUAAGACAGCCUGCUGUGGUCCAGGAAAUAAGGGAAGUAUGUUACCACAUCAAUCAUGGAUGAGCUGCUACCAUGUAUGAGGUGACUGUGGAACAAAACAUGCCAGUGACGCACCACCUCUGAAUGCCAUUUAAAUAAUGACUGAGACGUGACAGGGCUGUGGCACAACUGCAAAUCAAUACAGCCACAUUCAGUGGACAUGAGGAGUCAACCUUGUCAUUUAUCUGUUCGGCUGAUGAUUACAGAUGUAAAAAAAUAAAAAAUAAAGGCAAUACAAUUGGUAUUGAUUCUCUCAUAAUUUAAUACAGCUGAAGAGCAGGAAGAAAUGGGAUGCAGGCGUAAGUUGGGAGAUUAUAUUCAUACUGUUUGAGUAUAUCUAGUAUAUAUUUUUUGCCCUGCCUCUCCUGUCCCAACAUGCCAUGUCUUCUUAUGCCUGGUUAUAGUACUGAUCGGAGACACUGUAAAUCCCCUCUAUACUGUAUACCACAUCUUAAUACUUGCUGCCAGUUGGUCUCUGGAGGCUAUAUUUGAUCUCAUUCUGUUGUCCAGCCAUGUUCACUGGGUGGCUGAGCCUGAGGUCGCUGUCCAGACUGACUCCACUCAGCUAAUAGGGCCACUUAGCUCCACAGCUAACUGAUCUAUUUGCUAACACCAGCUUGUCGCUCCAGCUAAAAAGAUAGCUACAGCAAAGAGUAGAGUGAGCAGCAAUUGGUGGUUAUGCUUUCCCAUAUAGUUUUGGAGCUGCCUUGGAGUUCUGUUCAUUUCUUAAACACUUUAAGACAUAUGAAUAAAAUAUUUUUAAAAACAGUAUCUGAUCAUUUGAUUUUCAUAAUGUGGUUUGCUAUCAACAGUACUGACCUAUAUUGUUAUUCAGAAGAAGAGGAGAUGGUAUUACUACUCCAAAGACAAAGAAACAAUAUACUAAAAACAUUUUUUUUAUAUGUAAAGUUGUCUAGUUUGAUCAUAGCAGAAAUCCAAACCGAGUUUGAUUCUUAUCCUCUGGCAGACUCUUCUCUUUCAUAACUUUGAAUUCUUACGCAGCAGCUGCCAAAACAGUGCACUUCAUCAUUUCCAGCAUUAUUUCAUAUUAUGAAAAUACAUACUAUCCCUUAAAUCGAUUUCUGGGGGCUGAUGAUGGUUCUUUAGUGUCAGAGCACACAGCUAUUUACAUCUAGUGCAGAAAACCUGAACAAGUAUGCCUUUGUUAAAAAGCUCAACACAUGACCACGCAUUUUUGCAUGAAUGGCUUCAGGGCCAAAAAUCAGACAUAAAAUGCAUUUUGAAAAAGUGACUAGAUGCAUUGUGAAUUCAGAAAGUAAUUCAAGGUUGCAAAUGUUUGCUUACAUUUGUCUUGGUUGCACCAAAAAAAUUAUACAGUUUCUCAAAACAGCAUUUCCCAUCAGUAAAGACAUCCAGUCAUAGUAAACCAUGAAAAAAAAAUAAUCCACACGCUACUACAAGAAAUCAUUCCUUGAGUGUUUGGGAGAGUUUGUCAAUUUUUUUUUUCCUGCACACUGUCUUAAAAUAAAAAUCUGUUUCUAUUCAUAUUUAGGGUUCUGUAUCUGUCCCGCAUUUAACAUAAUUAUCUAAUUUUUUUACUUUUCAUCAAGACAAUUACCUUAAUUUAGUAUCUAAGGAAACUGUGAAAGAAUAAACAAGGAAUCUUAUUUCACAGGCUAUUUUCAGAGAUUAUAUAUACAGUGGAUCAGUGUGUGAAAAACCCAUGCUGGGGCACUUUCCCAAACAGCAACAGUGGUCGCAGCUUAACCACCAUAAUGCAUUAUGAGCAACACACUAAGUAACAACUGUUCUCAUAAACCAGCCUACGGUCUCGAGUCGGCACCAACGCAGCUCAAACAGUUUUAUCAAUAACAAAAUUGCAUUGUUGUUUUUAAGUUUAUCCAGUCUAAUUAGAUGAACAGAUUAGCCGGUCAUUAGAUUUGAAAGCAUAAGCAAAAGGAUGAGCAUCACCAGCAAAAAGGAUGAACAGCGAAUUAUCUGCACGAGUGAAAAGUGAUUACAGUUGCAAUGUUUCCCCUUCGGACCAUUUAGUGGGUGGCACAGGCAGCUGGUGGAGAGACAACAGAUAACAGUGUGCCGAGCCCAACCAUGAUCGAGACCGAGCAUAUGCUACUGAUGCUAUUUUUAAAACCUGGGGAAAGUUAGUUUUGAGAUGUUCUGUCAGUACUGUGUGCAUGUUCAACCAAUUAUCCCAAGAAGGUAGAGGAGGCCCUUGAUGAUAAUGAUGCUGUUGCCAACAUCAGUGAUGUCCAGACAGAUGGCAUCCUGCUGGCACAGCAGUACAUCAGGACCUCAUUAAUAACAUUAAUGACAUGUUUGCACACUCAUAUUCUAGUUGCAGUGGACAGUGAUGGUGUUAUUUGAAAAGGACAACACACAAAAGUGAAAAUAGCCAUUAGGUUUGUCAGAAAGUAAUUGUUUUCCCAAGUUUCCCAAAUCAUUGACGUCCUAUUGCCAAUGCUACCAAUUAUUCCCCAGCUGUAUCAUGACAUUUUUACGCCUUUAUUCUUUUCUAGAGCUCUAUUCACACAACGUGCAAUUUCUUCCUCAUUACUUAAGUGAUGCAAUCAGGAGGAUUUCUAUUAUUAAUGACAAGAUAUGCUUCAAACGGUGCCUUUCAGAGUUGUAGUUCCAACUGCACAAGUUUAAAGCAAACAUUUGUCUAAACUACAGCUCUCAACACAACUCCUGAACAUCUUCUUACAGAAUUCUUUAUCUCCAUAUAUUGUAGGGAGUGCUUUUCAAAACAUGAAAUCAUCAUGAAAAUCAGGCCAAUUUUAUCGACAGCUAUGCCUUUUUAUCUUGUAUGAAUAGACUGCAGAUGGAAGAAUGAUCCUCCUCCAUUUGAAAUCCUUUAUAUACACACAUUAAUUGAAGCACCAUUUAAGUUGUACCGUCUAUGAUGCGGACUAUAACGGUAGAUUAAUACAGCUACUUGACAGUGUACAAGCAGUUAAAUUGGAUUUGUCCUUCACCACUUUCUUGCUGGUCCACCAGUCAGAGUGUAUUGCCUUUCCGCUGCAUGUCAGGGGUCUGGUGAGACAUGCCAUGUGAGAAAACUCUGCUGCGUUAGGGACUUGGAAGGCUACUAGUCAAUAAAGCUGCAAAACUAAGGAUGUGGAGCAUGGAAGUGGGGGAUUUUUGGGGCAGAAGGGGGGUGACUCAGAGAGGAACCAUUCUCCUGUGUUACAUCAGGGCUGCUUCACUAUGGGGGAUGACUGGUGCCACAGAGUGAAAACAUAAAACGUACUUUGGAUGCACACAGACUAUAAAUGUUACACUACAAUCUAACAUAACAUAAUUAAACUUAUAACUGAUUAUGUGACAUUGGUGUAACUACUGUUUAUCAAUCUUUAAUUAUUAUCUGCCAAUAUUAAUUAAUCACUGAUUUAUUUUUCGGACAAGAAAUACAAAUUAUCAAGUUAGACAUGCCAAAAAUUAAGUCUAGAAAUCUGCGUUCGGCACACAACAUUUGAUAACCAAAUGUAAGCACAAACACUAUGUUUAUAGUAAAGAUUUCUGAUGUAUAUUUACAUGGUGAAGAUUCAACAGAAUUGCACACGAAAAACUGGUCCACAUCGAAGAAUACAUCCUGGAAUGGAUGCACGAUCCUGAAAGACUGAAAAAGCUGGCCGUUUUUAAACACUAUAUGAGAACAACUGGACUAUCCAGUAACAAAAGGCACUUAAUUAUUCUGAGUUAUUGUUAAAAAUUAACCUGUCCUCCAUUAACCUUUAUCCUCUUAACUAAUUGCCAUCAGACCUUCUUUAGGCUAUUGUACAUACAGUAUCAUGCUUUUUAUUUAUCUCUUCUUUACUCUAUGUAACAGUGUGCCAGAGUGUAUUCCCCCAUUGGUUUUUCGUACCAACCUAAAACCUUUCUCAACCUGUCAUACUGGUGAUACUUAACCUUGACCCAACCUUAACCCCGACCCCAUCUUGUUACACUACCCAAAUCUGGAGACCUUGACACAAAAACAGUGCGGCACCAUAUUUUGUAACCUGAUAGAAAUGUAUUCUUAUACAGAUUGCAAACAUAACAUUUGUGUCCAUGAGCCAUAUGUCUUUUUCUUUAACACAGACAAAUUUUACCAGCUUAUGACUCCAACACUAUAUGACACAUUCAGGUCAUUUCUAGGGUUGAGGGGAAGGUUCACCCCAAGGUCAAAAUUUUUUCCUCCUGCCUUCCCCCUUUAACGCUUUGUUUUUUGUUUUGUUUUUGAGCCUUGUAUCUCUGCACUGAUCCCUCACCAAUGACACAUUCAUAGCAUCAAUCAUGUACUUCUGACAAAGACACAUGAAUUGGAGGCUGGAUAUUUUACAGCUAAAAAAUAAACUUUUGUAUCCAAAAUGACAUUAGUGUACUGAAAGAAUAAAACGUUGCUGGAAACAUAUAUGGCAAUUCCGACCGAUACCUAUUAAUGUGUGAUAGGCCAAUAUCGAGUGAAAAUAUUGGGCUCAAAAAUAUCUAGGAUCAUAUGAUCUUACCUAAAUAGAACAAACAAGUCACAAGGUCGUUACUGAGAUACACCAUUGUUCAGUAACAGGAGUAGUCCGAUUAUCGGGGCCAAUAUUCUGCAUUUUCCAUUAGUGGUAGCUGUGAUUUAUCUGUCAUACUUCCAGUUAAAUAAACAAAUUCAAAUAUGUGCUACCUUGGUACACAAUCUACCACCCAGAACUAUAUGGUAACAUGUCACAAUUGACAGCCUGUCAACACUGAAUGAUCUGAACCUGUAAGGUAAGUACCUGACAAUUUUACUUAAGAACAGUUUAGACAUUCUGACAAAAAGAUUUCCAUCUAAACUGCAAAGGCAUAUCGGUUUUCAGUGCCCUUCAUUUCCAAUAAAUCGGUAUCAGCCCUCGAAAAAAAAGCCAAAAUCGAUUGACCCCUGUUCAGUCCGUCUUGCGCUUGACGAAUGCUUACAUGUUAAUACCCAAAUCAACCCAUCAAUCUCCUUUAAUCCUCAAAAAAGAAAGAAAGAAAGAAAGAAAACAAACAAAACAAAAAAAACUAGUGGAGUCAGAAUCCCCAUGGGUCGCAAACUUCCAGGGUGAUUUUUUUUAGGGGGGGGGUUCUACACCGGGGGUGGCACUGAACGCCUCUCAUACAGGCACAACCAUCCACGGACCAACAGCGCUAACUAUCGCCCUCAUUCUCGUCUCUACAUACACGCAUGACAGCAAGCAAACACAGACUAUACCUCCACACGAACCUGGACUACACACCUAUAAACUGGAAUAAAAAAUAAGAAAGAAAAAAAAAACUUCUGAGCACAAGAACAGAAAACUACGUGUCUAACGAACAACCCUGGUGAUUCAGGAGGCAAAGUGAAUACUAAGUCGACCAACGGUUCAGAACGUACACGAAUGUGUGGUGCCUUCAUUUCCUGAGAUUGAUGGAUUUUGAGACAAUAAAUGAGUGUGUGUGUGAGAGAGAGUGUGUUACACGUCGUCGGGGUCAAACAAGAGUUACAGGGCUGAAUAAAUGUCCAGCUUGACGUUAAAAAGCAGGGAGGUGGGGAGAGAGGGAGGGGGGCAGUUUGCGCCAUAGUCCCGCUGCCUAAUCAAUAACACGCACACACAAAUCAGGGAGGCUAAACGUCUGAGCGGUAACGCAACCCGGCUCGGCCCUGUUACCGUUAGAAGAACCCGGGCUGAACGUCGCUUCUGUUUAAUUAAAAUAAACAAAACCUCCUGUUUCGACAGCAGAAAGUCUCUAUUCCCCCCCGGUUAUAAAAUACUAAUUCAACACUGUGGACACUCUGGAGGAGUUCAGGGGGGCUAACACACACCAACGCUUCCAGGAAAAGAAAACACUUGAACCAUCCGUCUACACAUCAGCGCAACUGAGAGGACUUAUGAUUAGGUAGCAGAUCAAAGAUGGAAAAUGUCACGUUCGAUCCAACAGAGGCACUUGUUGCUGUCACGUCAGCAGAGCUCACUCUGUUUGAGUUGGACGCCGGCUUCUGGUUAACUGGUGAACUCAGAGAUCAUGUCGCUGUGGGCUGACAGGAGAUGGGGUGAGAGAGAUUAGGGGAUGAGAGGCUGGACGUGAACCACGGGCUGCUGCGGCGAGGCCACAGCCUCUAUACAUGGAGUACACGCUACUAACUGAGCUGCUGGGGCGCCGCAAUGACCUGCUAUUUAAGCAGCUAUUAAAUAGCCGGUAAUUUCUUUCACACAUUUCCUCACAGCUACUUUCUGUCUAACCUUCCCUCAGCAGACCUCUAAAGUGAGUCCAGUUCUCUCAGUUAUUAUACUCAGGUACUUAAAUUAAUAUGAAUAUUAACUUAUUUUCCUGUUGUGAAUUGACUUGCUAAUGUUGUAAUUGAAAACACUG